UUGCCCAGUCUUAUGUGCACUGUAACCAGCAUUCUGAUUGUACCAGCCACAAAUGUUCCACUGACAAACCCACUCCGUACUGCAAGCACGAUCAUGCUUUUAUAAUUUUUGAAAUCGGGCGCCACUGUGCCUGUACGGAGUGUGUGGAAGAUAGAGAUUGUCACUGUCCAGCUGGAACAACACCAAACUGUGACCACUACCUCCUUUCCCACAACUUUGGGACUUGUCAAUGUAAUCCAACGAUAACAUCUACAUCAAGAGAAACAUCUACAUCAAGAGGAAGUA